GUCCACGCCGUAAACGAUGUCUACUAGCCGUUGGGGCCUUUGAGGCUUUAGUGGCGCAGCUAACGCGAUAAGUAGACCGCCUGGGGAGUACGGUCGCAAGACUAAACUCAAAUGAAUUGACGGGGGCCCGCACAAGCGGUGGAGCAUGUGGUUUAAUUCGAUGCAACGCGAAAACCUUACCUGGUCUUGACAUAGUAAGAACUUUCCAGAGAUGGAUUGGUGCCUUCGGGAACUUACAUACAGGUGCUGCAUGGCUGUCGU
rnacentral:rRNA from 1 species